rnacentral:rRNA from 1 species
AUUGAACGCUGGCGGCGUGCUUUACACAUGCAAGUCGAACGGUAACAGGGUGCUUGCACCGCUGACGAGUGGCGAACGGGUGAGUAAUGCGUCGGAACGUGCCGAGUAGUGGGGGAUAACGCAGCGAAAGUUGUGCUAAUACCGCAUACGUACUGAGGUAGAAAGUGGGGGACCUUCGGGCCUCACGCUAUUCGAGCGGCCGACGUCUGAUUAGCUAGUAGGUGAGGUAAAGGCUCACCUAGGCGACGAUCAGUAGCGGGUCUGAGAGGAUGAUCGACCACACUGGGACUGAGACACGGCCCAGACUCCUACGGGAGGCAGCAGUGGGGAAUUUUGGACAAUGGGCGAAAGCCUGAUCCAGCCAUGCCGCGUGUCUGAAGAAGGCCUCCGAGUUGUAAAGGACUUUUGUCAGGGAGGAAAUCCCUAGUGCUAAUAACACUGGGGGAUGACAGUACCUGAAGAAUAAGCACCGGCUAACUACGUGCCAGCAGCCGCCGUA